GAUCUCCUGACCUCGUGACCUGCCCAGCUCGGCCUCCCAAAGUGCUGGGAUUACAGGCAUGAGCCAUUGCGCCUAACCUCAGAAACCAUUUUUAUAACCUCAAUACCUAAUAGAAACUGGCACAUGGACUGUGUGCGAAAUGUUCAAACUUGCUCACUGGGUUAAAAAGGAUGGACAGCUUAGAGAAAAAGAAGAAAAAAAGGAAACUCGGCUGUGCGCAGUGACUCAUGCCUAUAAUGCCAGCACUUUGGGAGGCCAAGGCAACUUUGCAAAUUAAAUGGUUCACAUAUGAAGGAGCACAGCUGUAGAAGGAAAAUAAGGAAGAGAAAAUAACUUCGGAAAAUUCCCAGGACUCAUACUCUAAAGGUCAUGGUUCCAGUACCAGCUUGGCUAGUAAUUAAUUGGAUUUUGGUCUUAGAUAAAUACAGACUUCUAGAUCUGUUUCUUCACAUAUAAAAUGAGAAUAAUCACCACAGUCCUGAUCUAAUAUACUAAGAUUUAGUGUCAAAAAGAAGUGUGGUUCCAAGAGUCAGUUAUUGUGCAAGUGGGUAGAAGUGCUUUAGAGUAAAUAUAAAUUCUGACUCUUUGCUACUUUCUUACUAGACAGUUAGACAAGUCAUUUAGAACUCUAUAGAUCAGCAAAAUAGGUAUAACAUUUUCUGUUUCAUAUUUGUUUUCUAGGUUUAAAUGAGAGAAUGAGUAUCAAAAAGUAUAGCAUGUGCCUCCGUAGGAAAAGUUUGGUAAAUCUCAGCAGCUAAUUAUAGGAAUAAUCAUGGUGGAAAAAGGCAGCAGCAGUAUUUCAAAGCCAGUUGCUUUCAGGGGAGAAAAUGACUGCAAGGUUAACAAAACUUAGCCAAAACCUGAUUGAAAAUAGGGAUAUGAUUCAAAAUGGCAGAUGGCAACCCUAAGUAAGAUUAUUUAGCAAUAGAAGCAUAGAUACAGAGGAGCCAUUGAGAACACAUAAGCAAUGAUUAUCUGAGCUCUAUGAAUGAAGAUCUAGUGUCAGAUGAAUGUGAGUGUAGGUCCACUGAGCGAAUACAUUUCUAUGAAAGGAAUUCACGUAUCAAGUUUUGAGCCCUGAUGGUAUCAAAUAUUCAAAAAGUUGUAAACACCCCUUCUUGUUCUGAUUCCAAAAUAAUCUAACAACUAUAUAAUUAUUUUUAUGUUUAUAUAUUCAUCUAUAUAGAGAAAAUGUAAUGAUCAGGCUAACAUGAGAAUUCAUUCAUUCUGCCUGACACAUCUCUCACUGGGAGUUGACAAUCUAAUGUUCUGAAUUUCUAUUCCAGCCCCUGUGAGCUGUGACUGCAAGAGUCAGCACCUAAAUUAGAUCAACACUACAACAUCAAAAAGCCAGCUUGAUGGCACAGCGGGGAGUGAGGAAGACUCGGUGGACAAAUCUGACUGGAAAACAAGUAGGCGUUGCAGAUGAGGCUGAAAGUGCAAGACCAGAGCACCAGCAUGGAUGGGUUGCAGUGAGGGCUCUCUUUUGAGCUGCAGGUGGCUGUCUUCUCAUUUAUCUUCACAUGGUGAGAAAAGGAUGAGAGAGUUCUCUGUGAACCCCUUUAUAAGGAUGCUGAACCCAUUCAUAAGGGCUCUCCCCUCAGGACCUAAUUACCUCUCAAAAACCCCACCUCUUAACACCAUUAUAUUGAGGGUUAGGAUUUCAACAUAUUAAUUUGGGGGGCUACAAAAACAUUCCAUCCCCAACAGAUGUUAAAUUGAAACAUUUUUAAUUCUCACUCUAUGUUCUGUGCUAGGCGACAGAAUUCCCUCCCUAAAGACAUUUACCUCCUAAUCCCCAGAAUGUAUGAGUCGUUAUUACUUUACAUGGCAAAGAAUUACUUUACAGAUGUGGUUAAGAAUGCUGAGAUGAGUAUCCUGGAUUAUAUAGGCAGGCUCAGUGUAAUCAUACAGGUCCUUACAGGUGAAAGAGGGAUGCAAGAGAGUUAGAGGCAAAGAAGAUGUGCAGAAGUUGAGUGACAUGGCUGUGAGCCAAGGAUGGUCAGAAGCCUUUAGAACAGGGGUGUCCAAUUUUUUGGCUUCCCUGGACCAUAUUAGA
rnacentral:lncRNA from 1 species